rnacentral:rRNA from 1 species
UACGUAGGGGGCGAGCGUUGUCCGGAUUCAUUGGGCGUAAAGCGCGCGCAGGCGGCCGCGAGAGCCCGGCGUGAAAGCCCCCGGCUCAACCGGGGGAGGCCGUCGGGGACCUCGGGGCUGGAGGCCGGUAGGGGCGAGCGGAAUUCCCGGUGUAGUGGUGGAAUGCGUAGAGAUCGGGAGGAACACCGGUGGCGGAGGCGGCUCGCUGGGCCGGUCCGUGACGCUCGGGCGCGAAAGCGUGGGGAGCGAUCCGG